rnacentral:rRNA from 1 species
UACAGAGGUCUCAAGCGUUGUUCGGAUUCAUUGGGCGUAAAGGGUGCGUAGGCGGCGCGGUAAGUCGGGUGUGAAAGUCUCGGAGCUUAACUCCGAAACUGCAUUCGAUACUGCCGUGCUUGAGGACUGGAGAGGAGACUGGAAUUUACGGUGUAGCAUGUGAAAUGCGUAGAGAUCGUAAGGAAGACCAGUGGCGAAGGCGGGUCUCUGGACAGUUCCUGACACUGAGGCACGAAGGCCAGGGAGCAAACGGG